rnacentral:SRP_RNA from 1 species
GCGGGCAGGCACCUCGCCAACCCGGUCAGGUCCGGAAGGAAGCAGCCGUAACGAGCCACGCUUGGGUCGUUGUCCAGCCUCU